UACGGGGGGGGCAAGCGUUGUUCGGAAUUACUGGGCGUAAAGGGCUCGUAGGCGGCCAACUAAGUCAGACGUGAAAUCCCUCGGCUUAACCGGGGAACUGCGUCCGAUACUGGCAGGCUUGAAUUCGGGAGAGGGAUGUGGAAUUCCAGGUGUAGCGGUGAAAUGCGUAGAUAUCUGGAGGAACACCGGUGGCGAAGGCGGCAUCCUGGACCGAUAUUGACGCUGAUGCGCGAAAGCGUGGGGAGCAAACAGG
rnacentral:rRNA from 1 species